rnacentral:rRNA from 1 species
GCCCAAGAGAUCGGGAUAACACCUGGAAACAGAUGCUAAUACCGGAUAACAACAGAUGAUGCCUAUCAACUGUUUAAAAGAUGGUUCUGCUAUCACUCUUGGAUGGACCUGCGGUGCAUUAGCUAGUUGGUAGGGUAACGGCCUACCAAGGCGAUGAUGCAUAGCCGAGUUGAGAGACUGAUCGGCCACAUUGUGACUGAGACACGGACCCAAACUCCUACGGGAGGCAGCAGAU